GCGUGUGUGAUCUAUUUUUAGAUAGACUGUUUUCUUUUUUUUUCUUGAAGAUUUUCUCCUUCAGUGUUACAUCAAACUCAAAAAGAAAGUGCACGCUGGAUCGCGACGCUUUUGCGAGAGGCGUUGCUAAGCAACGGAUGACGUCAUGUCCAUCUAGCGGUGAAUCACGCAAGUGCCAGAAUCCUCCGAAGCCGGAUCGGCCUCGUGGUUAUUCACGUCCUUCGAAACCCACCACCGCCGAGAUGGUUUCAACUCCCAUUCUUUCUCACAACCACUUUAUGUACUAG